CAGUCGCCGCGGGAAUACAGAGGAUGCAAGCGUUAUCCGGAAUGAUUGGGCGUAAAGCGUCUGUAGGUGGCUUUUCAAGUCCGCCGUCAAAUCCCAGGGCUCAACCCUGGACAGGCGGUGGAAACUACCAAGCUGGAGUACGGUAGGGGCAGAGGGAGUUUCCGGUGGAGCGGUGAAAUGCGUAGAGAUGUGGAGGAACACCGAUGGCGAAGGCAGCCCCCUGGGCCAAUACUGACGCUCAUGCACGAAAGCGUGGGGAGCAAACAGGAUUAGAUACCCCCGUAGUCCCUGUCUCUUAUAC
rnacentral:rRNA from 1 species